rnacentral:rRNA from 1 species
UAUAAACGGUUGUACUUUUUAAGCUUUGUUUCACUUUGUAGAGACUAAAUCUUAAGUUUAAGUAAAAAUUCUUAAAUAUUUUAGAGGGACGAUAAGACCCUAAAAUUUUUAUCUUGAUCUGGCUAGUCCAGUAAAGAUUAAUUAUUAAGCUGAGAGGUAAGAUUUUGCUGGGGCAGUGGCUUUAUUUAAUUUAAGGCGCGCAGACACAAAAGGUCAAGUGAUCCUUUAGAUAAAGAUGGGUGGUAUUAAUUACUUUAGGGGUAACAGCGUUAUUUACUCGUUGAGGCCUUAUCUAUGAGUGAGAUUACGACCUCGAUGUUGAAUUAUAAGUUCUUUAUGCAGAAAUAGGCGGUAGAGAGGGUUUGUUCAACCUUUAAAAUUUUACAUGAUUU